ACCCGCUGAACUUAAGCAUAUCAAUAAGCGGAGGAAAAGAAACCAACAGGGAUUGCCUCAGUAACGGCGAGUGAAGCGGCAAAAGCUCAGAUUUGAAAUCUGACGUCUUAGGACGUUCGAGUUGUAAUCUGUAGAGGAGUGUUCGGGUGUGGCUUUGGCUCAAGUUCCUUGGAACAGGACGUCAUGGAGGGUGAGAAUCCCGUGAACGGCCAUUGUCCUAUGCCUAUGUGAACCUCCUUCAACGAGUCGAGUUGUUUGGGAAUGCAGCUCUAAAUGGGUGGUAUAUUUCAUCUAAAGCUAAAUACCGGCAGGAGACCGAUAGCGCACAAGUAGAGUGAUCGAAAGAUGAAAAGAACUUUGGAAAGAGAGUUAAAUAGUACGUGAAAUUGUUGAAAGGGAAGCACUUGCUCCCAGACUUGCCUGCAGCUGAUCAACCGUCAUUUUUGAUGGUGCACUCGGUUGUCGGCAGGCCAGCAUCAGUCAGGACGGCGGGAAAAAGGUGCGAGGAAUGUGGCUCGCUUCGGCUGAGUGUUAUAGCCUCGUACGCAAUGCCGCCUGCCCUGACUGAGGACCGCGCUUCGGCUAGGAUGCUGGCUUAAUGGUCGU
rnacentral:rRNA from 1 species